rnacentral:rRNA from 1 species
GACGAACGCUGGCGGCGUGCCUAAUACAUGCAAGUAGAACGCAGUUGCGAACGGGUGAGUAACGCGUAGGUAACUGCCUGGUAGCGGGGGAUAACUAUUGGAAACGAUAGCUAAUACCGCAUACUACCAGACGGACCUGCGUUGUAUUAGCUAGUUGGUGAGGUAACGGCGCACCAAGGCAACGAUACAUAGCCGACGUGCGAGGGUGAUCGGCUCCACUCGGACGGAGACCCGGCCCAGACUCCUACCGGACGCAGCAGGAGGGAAUCUUCGGCAAUGGGGCGAACCCUGACCGAGCACCGCCGCGUGAGUGGAGAAGGUUUUGGGAUCAUAAAGCUCUGUUGUUAAGGAAGCGGUACUUAACCAGAUCGGAACGGCUAACUACGUGCCAGCAGCCGCGGUAAUAC